GUCUAUGGCCAUACCACCCUGAACGCACCCGAUCUCGUCUGAUCUCGGAAGCUAAGCAGGGUCGGGCCUGGUUAGUACUUGGAUGGGAGGAGUUCCUGGCUCCUGACU
ensembl:rRNA 5S_rRNA 5S ribosomal RNA